UAGAAAAGUGAAUAUACGUUUUUGAAUUAAUUAAUUUUCUUUCCUUUAAUAUUUAAUCAUCAUGAUUUAUAGAAUAUUCGCUUUUAAGAUUAGCCAUACGUGAUAUGCAAAUUUUUGAAAACAGAAUAAUAAAAUUGUGUUAGCUGAUUGAUAUUGUAUUACUUAGCGUAGAAAUAGGUAAAUUCCCUUUCCGAUUUAGUGCACCAAUAUAUAUAUUAAAGAUACUAAUAACUAUAAUAUCAUUAAAUACGAAUAUUUUCUAUAGCGGUUUAAUAUAUUUAUGUUUUGCAGGAAGUUUGUUAUGUCUGUCAAAUUACUUUCGCGUUUACGUCUAUCAAUUCAAGUUUGGUGGUUUUAUUAUUAUGUUAAACGACAGUGUAUAAUUUCAGUGGCAUUUUAUUGUAAUU
rnacentral:lncRNA from 1 species